rnacentral:misc_RNA from 1 species
GAUGAAGAACGCAGCGAAAUGCGAUACUUGGUGUGAAUUGCAGAAUCCCGUGAACCAUCGAGUCUUUGAACGCAAGUUGCGCCCGAAGCCACUAGGCCGAGGGCACGCCUGCCUGGGCGUCACACGCCGUUGCCCCCCCAUCUACUCCUUCGGGAUUGCGGGGGGGCGGAUGAUGGCCUCCUGUGCGCCUAGCCGCGCGGUUGGCAUAAAUACCAAGUCCUCGGCGACGCACGCCACGACAAUCGGUGGUUGCGAAACCUCGGUUGCCCGUCGUGUGCGUUCGUCGCGCAUCGAGGGCUCGAAAAAAUGCUCGGCUCCGGCUGGGCUUUCAACGCGUCCCCAGGUCAGGCGGGGUUACCCGCUGAAUUUAAGCAUAUCAAUAAGCGGAGGA